rnacentral:rRNA from 1 species
AACGAACGCUGGCGGCAUGCCUAACACAUGCAAGUCGAACGAGACCUUCGGGUCUAGUGGCGCACGGGUGCGUAACGCGUGGGAAUCUGCCCUUGGGUUCGGAAUAACUCAGAGAAAUUUGAGCUAAUACCGGAUGAUGACGAAAGUCCAAAGAUUUAUCGCCCAAGGAUGAGCCCGCGUAAGAUUAGCUUGUUGGUGGGGUAAUGGCCUACCAAGGCGACGAUCUUUAGCUGGUCUGAGAGGAUGAUCAGCCACACUGGGACUGAGACACGGCCCAGACUCCUACGGGAGGCAGCAGCGAGGAAUCUUGGGCAAUGGGCGAAAGCCUGACCCAGCGACGCCGCGUGGAGGAUGAAGGCCUUCGGGUCGUAAACUCCUUUUGUGAGGGAAGAAGUUCUGACGGUACCUCACGAAUAAGCCACGGCUAACUACGUGCCAGCCGCCGCAGUAA